CAAGUGGGUGUCUUUAAGCAUCCUGUGAUAGGCAGGCUUGGGAGGAGCUGACAGUCACUUGGAAACAAAUGGAAUGAAGAAGGUCAAUGGGGAUUGGCAACAUAAAAUGUACCAGGAAAAAUGUAAGGGGAAGAAAACAGAAUUUCCUCACAGAUAUUUUGUCAGAGCCUUCUGUGUGCCUGGCGCUGCUCCAGCCCUGAGGACAUGGGCGAGAGUAACACAACAAGGGCCCCACCACGCACGGCACCCACGUCUUAGGUGGAAGGGGUGAACGGGGACGUCCCAGACAGUACUGGCAACACGCCUCCUGAUGACAGCACAUAAUAACGGGCACCAUGUCAUACCACGUCCAUCCCGGCUGUGAAAGUCAUGCGAAUACAAAGCCUGCAGGAUGCCUCUGCAGGAGCCCUCACUCUCUCACGUUCCUUCCACCAUCUGGUCCUGUCUGGACCUAACCUGCAUAUCAAUUUGAGAUUCAGAGCCUGCUGAAAGUCAACAAUAAAUAAUGAU